rnacentral:rRNA from 1 species
UACGGGAGGCAGCAGUAGGGAAUCUUUCACAAUGGGCGAAAGCCUGAUGGAGCAACGCCGCGUGCAGGAUGACGGCCUUCGGGUUGUAAACUGCUUUUAUAAGCGAGAAAUAUGAUGGUAACUUAUGAAUAAGCCCCGGCUAACUACGUGCCAGCAGCCGCGGUAAU